AUGGCCUUAUAUCUUCAAAGAAGUGCCUUGAACUCUGGAAUGCCACAGAGUGGGAGAAACCACCGAAAACCAGGAAAUGUCAACAAUGUGACAGGAACGCCUGGGCAGCCAUGCUGCUGGACUGCUGGGCUCACCAUGAUGUCAGUACCACCAGGAUGCAGCUGGACAGCCUGGAAGGGCCCUUCAUUAGGAAUAUUAAGUAGGAAUAAAAUGAAAAACAGUAGCUUCCCUGCUAUUGGAAUUCAGUUCAUGAUAUUUCUAAAGACAUUCUUUCUGUGGAAUGUAGCUCCUAAAGAAUAGCAAGAAGAGAUAAGAAAGCCUUCUUCAGCGAUCAAUGCAAAGAAAUAGAGGAAAACAACAGAAUGGGAAAGACUAGAGAUCUCUUCAAGAAAAUUAGAGAUACCAAGGGAACAUUUCAUGCAAAGAUGGGCUCAAUAAAGGACCGAAAUGAUAUGGACCUAACAGAAGCAGAAGAUAUUAAGAAGAGGUGGCAAGAAUGCCCAGAAGAACUGUACAAAAAAGAGCUUCACGACCCAGAUAAUCACGAUGGUGUGAUCACU
rnacentral:lncRNA from 1 species